UACGUAGGGGGCAAGCGUUGUCCGGAUUUAUUGGGCGUAAAGAGCUCGUAGGCGGUUUGUCGCGUCUGCCGUGAAAGUCCGGGGCUCAACUCCGGAUCUGCGGUGGGUACGGGCAGACUAGAGUGAUGUAGGGGAGACUGGAAUUCCUGGUGUAGCGGUGAAAUGCGCAGAUAUCAGGAGGAACACCGAUGGCGAAGGCAGGUCUCUGGGCACUUACUGACGCUGAGGAGCGAAAGCGUGGGGAGCGAACAGG
rnacentral:rRNA from 1 species